ACAGAUUCAAGAAUAUUAAACUUUAUAGAUUCAAGAUUCAGAGCUUUUUAAAAUCUGUAUAUUAGUUAGAGGCUGCAAAUAUUUUCUUGGCCGAGCCACAAAAUGUGUAACUUCCCCUCAAAAAGUUGUGGUUUCAAUUAAAUACCUGGGCAACCUCUUUUACCUGCACCAAAUGGAAGUACCUCAAAAUCUUGACCCUUGUAAUCGAUGUCGCUAUUCAAGAAUCUCUCAGGUAUAAAUUCUUCCGGAUUUUCCCAUAUUUCAGCAUCCCUUGCUAUAGCCCAAGCAUUAACAUAAACAAUGGUUCGAGGACUCUUGUGAGGACUCUUGGAUUUCGAGUUUGCUCAUACUAUGUCCAUCCCUAGUCAUAUCUUAGCCUCGUCACUACUUCACCAAGGUUAGGCUCUGUACUUACCAGUACAUGGGGUCGGUUGUACUGAUACUGCACUCUAUCUUUCUGUGCUGAUCCCAAUACUGGACCGCACUUAUUAGAGUUUUGGUGGCUGCCUUCAGUCCACAAGAGACCCAAAGUAGAUCUGCCGGCGUUCGCAGACCCUGGAGUCCCCUUCCCUCUAUUUUAGAUUUCAUGACUCUUUUUCAUUUCGAGAAUAGAUGUACUUUUUUAAACCAAUAUUUGUAGAAAAUUCUUAGAAGUUCGUGAAUUUGUGAUACCAAAUCUUUUGGAUAGUUAUGUAUUUGUUUUAACUGUUAUAAAAAUUUUGCACUUCAUAAUUUGUUUAGUUUAAAUUAUUGUUAUAUCUAUUUUGGUUAGUGAUUAAUGUGUUAGAACUGUAGUUGUUGGCUUGCCUAGCAUUCUAAGAGUUAGGCGUCAUCACGAUCUCGACGCUAGAAAAUCCGGGUCGUGAGAAAAAGUAUAGCCAAAACAAUGAACUUGCAAGUGUACACUCUUUUUAUUUCUUCUUUUGAUGCAAUGACUAUUUAUUUCAAUUGUGUAUUUUUACUUUUUCAGGUAAAAUCUAUAAAAAGAAAAAAUAUUAGAGCGCCAUAUUUUAGAGCUAUAUAAGAAAUUAUAGCCAAAAUAAUUGAUUUUAAAAUAUGUAUUUUUGAUAACUUUUUAGAUACUUUGACUAUUUAUUUCAAUUGUAUAAAUCUUUAUUUUUAGGUCAAAUUCAAAACAAAUAAUUAUAACUUUAUUAUUUAUAGCCAAAUAAAAAAUAUUUAACCUAAAUAAUGUAGUUCUAUCCAAGUUUUAUUAUAAAUUUAUUUGAAAAAAUAUUAUCUAAAAAAAUAGCAUACUUAAAAAGGUAAAAAUAUAUUUUAUUUUUCAAAAAAAUCACAUAGACAAAAAAUUCACGUAGCAAGCGAAUGCAUGCCUCUUUCCUGGGAUGGGAUCAUCCAAGGGAAUAACAACAAUCAAAUAACCAAGUAUACUGGGUUACUAAGAUCAUAAAUAGUACAAGAAUGUAACCAAUAAUGUGUGCCUAAAUUUAGGGGAUUUUUUGGUAGCAAAUGCCGCAAUUCGUCACAAAUAAUAUCCGGUUACGAAAGUAUUUAACUAGUUAUUUUAUUUUAAGAAAGACGAGCGCUUCAACUUUUUUAUUAAAGCUAAGCUGCUGUUGGGGAAUUCGGUAUAAGCGAUUUUCCGCUUCUGCCUUUCUAGGCUACAACAAAUUAUUAAUAAAACUAGCAACUCAUAUCGAUGUUUUAGCUUGAACGAGAGGAUAAAUCAACUUUGUUUAAUUAAUUCAUCUUUAUAGCGGUAGGUUAUCCGUUGGUAAAAAUUUAUACCUGCCAUCCUCUUUGUAUCCUAAAGCUCCUGAAUUGAUUGCCACAUCAUAGAACCUCAUAUAUAGUGGCAAAGCAUCCCCCUCCCCCUCCCCCAGGAGAACCUUAUAAUAAAUAUAAAAAAAUUAUAAUACAACACUCUUAGACUAGGUGUAGUGAAAGUCAAAUUCAUUAUUUAGAUUAGUGGAUUCACCAUGAGAAUGAUUCUAUUAUAUGUAUACCUUUUAAACUUAUUCUAAAUAUGUAUACAUAAUUUGAACUAAAAACAAUAAAUUUAGCUGUCCUCACAGAAAUAUAGAUAAUUUUUAGGGAUAAGGCAAAGUUCGUUUUUCUUAUGCAUGGUAAUUCCAGGCCUGACAUGUGUGUCAAUGUCUUCUUUUCUCACUCCAUAAGGUAACUCCCAAUCAAAUGCAUAAAGAAGAUUUGACAAAGCAAGUUCCAUGGAUGCAACCCCAAGUGCAAUACCUGCAGACACGAAUUCAAGAUUUAAUCUUUAUAUAGAUUCAAGAUUCUAAGCUUUCUGAAAAUAUGUAUAUUAGUUAGCGGUUGUAAAUAUUUUUUUUUUCAGAUUCAAGAAUAUUAAACUUUAUAGAUUCAAGAUUCAGAGCUUUUUAAAAUCUGUAUAUUAGUUAGAGGCUGCAAAUAUUUUCUUGGCCGAGCCACAAAAUGUGUAACUUCCCCUCAAAAAGUUGUGGUUUCAAUUAAAUACCUGGGCAACCUCUUCUACCUGCACCAAAUGGAAGUAACUCAAAAUCUUGACCCUUGUAAUCGAUGUCGCUAUUCAAGAAUCUCUCAGGUAUAAAUUCUUCCGGAUUUUCCCAUAUUUCUGCAUCCCUUGCUAUAGCCCAAGCAUUAACAUAAACUAUGGUUCCUGGCUGAAUUUCAUAACCU
rnacentral:lncRNA from 1 species